GAGUUUGAUCCUGGCUCAGAUUGAACGCUGGCGGCAUGCCUUACACAUGCAAGUCGAACGGCAGCACGGGAGCUUGCUCCUGGUGGCGAGUGGCGAACGGGUGAGUAAUGCAUCGGAACGUAUCCUGGAGUGGGAGAUAACGUAGCGAAAGUUACGCUAAUACCGCAUAUUCUGUGAGCAGGAAAGCGGGGGACCUUCGGGCCUCGCGCUCUUGGAGCGGCCGAUGUCGGAUUAGCUAGUUGGUGAGGUAAAGGCUCACCAAGGCGACGAUCCGUAGCAGGUCUGAGAGGAUGAUCUGCCACACUGGAACUGAGACACGGUCCAGACUCCUACGGGAGGCAGCAGUGGGGAAUUUUGGACAAUGGGGGCAACCCUGAUCCAGCCAUGCCGCGUGAGUGAAGAAGGCC
rnacentral:rRNA from 1 species